GACCACUCUGGUGGCCUAGUGGUUAGAGCAUCCACCUUACAUCUGGAUGUGGGAGAUCAUGGGUUCAAUCCCUGGCUGAGUCA